rnacentral:miRNA from 1 species
CUGUGUGUGUAUGUAUGUGUGCACGUGCAUGUGCGCACACGCACGUGCAUGCACACCCGCACAUCAAUACUAGAGCUUGAACUCAGAGCC